UCAUGGUCAUGAUCAUGGUCGUGAUCAUGGUCGUGAUCAUGGUCGUGGGAAUGCGCGUGAUCGUGGUCGUGGUCAUGACCAUGACCGUGAUCGUCC
rnacentral:pre_miRNA from 1 species